rnacentral:misc_RNA from 1 species
GAUGAAGAACGUAGCGAAAUGCGAUACGUAAUGUGAAUUGCAAAUUCAGUGAAUCAUCGAGUCUUUGAACGCACAUUGCGCCCCCUGGUAUUCCGGGGGGCAUGCCUGUCCAAGCGUCAUUGCUGCCCUCAAGCACGGCUUGUGUGUUGGGCCCCGUCCUCCGAUCCCGGGGGACGGGCCCGAAAGGCAGCGGCGGCACCGCGUCCGGUCCUCGAGCGUAUGGGGCUUUGUCACCCGCUCUGUAGGCCCGGCCGGCGCUUGCCGAUCAACCCAAAUUUUUAUCCAGGUUGACCUCGGAUCAGGUAGGGAUACCCGCUGAACUUAUGCAUAUCAAUAAGCGGAGGA